rnacentral:rRNA from 1 species
GACGAACGCUGGCGGCGUGCUUAACACAUGCAAGUCGAACGGAAAGGCCCUGCUUUUGUGGGGUGCUCGAGUGGCGAACGGGUGAGUAACACGUGAGUAACCUGCCCUUGACUUUGGGAUAACUUCAGGAAACUGGGGCUAAUACCGGAUAGGAGCUCCUGCUGCAUGGUGGGGGUUGGAAAGUUUCGGCGGUUGGGGAUGGACUCGCGGCUUAUCAGCUUGUUGGUGGGGUAGUGGCUUACCAAGGCUUUGACGGGUAGCCCGCCUGAGAGGGUGACCGGCCACAUUGGGACUGAGAUACGGCCCAGACUCCUACGGGAGGCAGCAGUGGGGAAUAUUGCACAAUGGGCGGAAGCCUGAUGCAGCAACGCCGCGUGCGGGAUGACGGCCUUCGGGUUGUAAACCGCUUUCGACUGUGACGAAGCGUGAGUGACGGUAAUGGGUAAAGAAGCACCGGCUAACUACGUG